rnacentral:sRNA from 1 species
UGUGAUCUCUCCUUACUUCAUGAGAAAGCCCCCUUUUCUAAUCUCCUACAACAAACAAAUACCCCGGAGUACGACUUUUCACGACGCUGUUUUAGUGCGAUUCCUCUUGGAAUCUAACGUUCUACCCAUAAUAUCCUUAAUUCUCAACAUACAAUCUAAAAGCUGCAACUCUUCAUCCCCUCCCUCGCACAAACCCUUAUCGCACUCUGCGAUCGCAAUGCCGGCCAAACUCUUUUGAACUGCUGGUAUACUUGGAAUGGGUAUGAGAGCGUCGUGGAUCUACAUUUUUAUAUUGAUUUUUACACUCGGUCAGUUCUGCCUGUAGAUAUUUCGUAUAUGGGAAUAGAUUCGAAUAAAGUAUGAGAAAGAAAGGGAAGAAUGAGAAGGCAAGGAGUAAGACCCACCUGCUCAAGCACUUGCCCUACACUCCAUCCUUCCCGUUCAACUCGCUUCACGGCAACCAUAACACCAUCAAAUCCUCUUGCCAGACUGCGAUCGAUCCCAAUUUGCCUAUCGACUCCCAUCGCAGCGAGGAGAUCUGUGAUUAGAUCUUCUGGGACAACGCCAGAUAUUUCGUGUACUGUUUCAUACAAAGGGAUACAGGAAGACGAUACAAGUCAGCUUUCAAGAUCUUCUCCUUAGUUUUUGCACAGUACCGCCCGGUACAAGCCCGCUGCUGCGAUACAAAGAAGAAAAAAAGCACAUACUGGAAAGAGCAGACACAGGUGUAGGUGGUUCGAUCGAGCUAUGUAAUCUCUGAGCUGUUUGGAGGUAUGUAAUCGCCUUUCGCAAAUCGCCUCCAGCAAGUUCAAGGAUAAGCGAAAUCACCUAUCCCCAUGGAGGUCAGCGCGUAAAAAAAACAGAAAAAAGGGGAAGGCGAGUUGAAGAAAGAACGGGGGUAAAGCAAGAGGAUGAAAGAAAAGAACACAAGGACAUACUCCGGGAUCGGUUUGAACACCUUCAUUCUCUGCAAUCAUCUCCAUUCUCGCUCUUGUACUUCCCUGUUCGAGUGGUUUGAACCUAAAUUUGCUACAUCUUGAUGCGAGGGGCUCGAUAAUCCUAUCCCCUAUCAUCAGCUAUUCAUCUACUCAUUCACUCUUUCCUCUUCCAUUUCCCUCUCUCGUUGCUAGAUCCAAGCAGGAUGGACGGAAUAGAUGGAUGAAUGGAUGUGUAAAUGGAACGCACCUAGU